AUGGACUUCGACGACCACGACGACGGCGACGAGGAGAUGCAGAUGUCCAUGCCCAUGCCGGUGAGCUCCAGCUACGAGCCCCCGCCGCCGCUCUCCACGGGGUUUGGCGGCGCCGGGGUUGCGCCCAACAAGCCUCCUGGUGGCGGUGGUGGUGGUGGUGAGCUUGGCGGCCGUGCCAAGGCCCCCGGCGGCGGUGCCAGGUACCGCGAGUGCCUCAAGAACCACGCGGUCGGCAUCGGAGGGCACGCCGUCGACGGCUGCGGCGAGUUCAUCGCCGCCGGCGAGGAGGGCAGCAUCGACGCGCUCCGCUGCGCCGCGUGCAACUGCCACCGCAACUUCCACCGGAGGGAGUCCGACUUCCCCGCGGGGCCCGAGGGUUCGCCCUUCUCUCCCACCGCAAUGGUCCCCUACGGAGGCGUGCCGCACCACCAGUUCUCGCCCUACUACCGCACCCCGGCGGGCUACCUGCACCACCACCAGCACCACAUGGCCGCGGCCGCCGCCGCCGCCGCGGCAGCCGCAGGGCACCCGCGGCCGCUCGCGCUCCCGUCCACCUCCCACAGCGGCCGCGACGACGCCGACGAGCUGUCGGGCAUGGCGGCGGGGCCCAUGUCGGCGCUGGCCCCGCUGAGCAGCAUGUCCCUCGGCGCCGGCCCGUCGGGGUACGGCUCCGGGUCCGGGUCCGGCAAGAAGCGGUUCCGCACCAAGUUCACCCAGGAGCAGAAGGACAAGAUGCUGGCCUUCGCGGAGCGCGUGGGGUGGCGCAUCCAGAAGCACGACGAGGCGGCCGUGCUGCAGUUCUGCGACGAGGUGGGCGUCAAGCGCCACGUCCUCAAGGUGUGGAUGCACAACAACAAGCACACCCUCGGCAAGAAGCCGCCCAGCAUUUGA
rnacentral:rRNA from 1 species